UACUUUUGACAAAAUACUUAUCAAGUAGCAAAUUUAAGGAUAAGGAGUUUUGAAGAAACAGUACAUUUGGGCAGGGAAACCAUGGAUACAAGAGUUUAAGGCAUCUGAUCCUAUUGCAUCUGCAGUCAAGAAGCAGAGUGAAAAAUGCUCAUCCUCAGCUUGUUUUCUUCUUUAUAUAGACCGUGGAAUGAUGCUGAAUUUUAGGGUGGAUCUUCCAAUCCCAUUGACAUAAUAAAGACAUGUUUUCCAAAUGCAUAGUCAGAGCAGAGUCAGGAAUAUAGAUAUGCCCAAAUGAUUGUUUUCUAGGUGAUUCAAGACAUUGUCAAGCUGACAAUCAACACUAAUUUUCACACACUCUAUAACAUUUUCUUCACAGUAUUCAAGACCUGAAGGCAGAAAGUCAUGGCAGGUAUUGGCAGAGUAGAAUUCAAAGAAAUGAAAAUAGAGGAGCAGUAUGGUUUAAAACAAUCUCUCGAAGUUCAAUGACAAAAGAAGGAUUAAAUAUAACAGGAAACAUCCAUUCAAGAGAUUACUAUGCACAUUUUUCAAAAGAAUGAAGGAAAAAUCCCUACACUUGUAUUUGCUAGGGCAUUGCUUAAGUAUUCGUCUAACAGUUUGACCAUUUCAGAUUCUGAAUUGAGGUCUUUGACUCAGUGGAUGGCAGAGGGUAAUACAUAUUGAGAGGGUGAGAAAAGGGGUAAAUGUAACUGUGUUUAAAAAAAUAGAAAAAUAUUAUUUAUAUUUAUUUAACAUACAUAUAUAUUAUCUGUAAGUUUCUGUGUAUACACAGAGAGAUUCCCUGUGUUUGUGUGCAAGUGCACACAUAUGUGCACAUGAAUGCACACAGUAAAAGGAAAAGUUACAUCACUUAGGGUAAAGUACUCCCAAGACUCAUGAACUAUUCAAUAAACAUUCCAGCACCAGACAUAGAAAACAUUCUUUUGAGUUAUUUGUUGGGGAAGUUGAAGAACCUCACAAAGAAACAUAAGCAAUUGCUACUAUCCUUGUUUGCCUUCCAUACCUUGAAGGUAAGACAGUAUUACUGACGACAUCAAUACACCUGAUAGAGAAUCUGUGUGCUGGAAAUAACCUAGAUGCCUCCUCCACAAUAUCUAGUUGUGCAAGCUCUCAAGGAGGGAACGUAAUUAAUAGACCUACCCAGCUGGAAAUUCUAUGAACCACAUCAACAACCAACAUUGGAGCCGGGCUUUGGUGGCGCACGCCUUUAAUCCCAGCACUUGGGAGGCAGAGGCAGGAUUAAAGGCGUGAGCCAUCAAUGCCCAGCGUAAAAUGGAGGUACUAAUGGUACAGAGGUAAUAAGAUAUGAAGAGGAAAUUAGUUGACAUGAGUGAGAGGUUUAAUAAAUCUUGAUAAUCAGAAAAAUAAUCUGAAUAAUGUCUGAUUCCAAAUGGUGUCCAACUAUUCUUUUCUGAUAUUUAUUUUUCUCUCAUACAUUACAUCCUGACUUCGGUUUCCCCUUCCUCAACUCCUCCCAUUCCCACCUCUCCUCUCCCCAAGAUCCACUGCUCCUUCUCUUCCAUUCAAACAAAACAGCAGGUCUAUUAAAGAAAUCAAUAUAACGUGGCUUAAUACCUUAUCAUAAGACUAGGCAAAACCCUCAUAUCAAGACUGGACAAAGCAAUCUAGUAAGAAGAAAAGGGACCCAAGUACAGGCAAGAGUCAGAAGUAUACGCCCCCAUUCCUACAAGAAUACCAAGAAACAACUGUAAUGCAUAUGCAGAGGACCUAGCUCAGGCCCAAACAGGGUCCAUGAUUUUUGCUCAGUAACUGUGAACCAUUAUGAUCCCUGCUUAGUUGUUUUGUGGGUUGUAUUCUCAUGGUGUCCUAGAACACUCUGCCUCCUAAAAUCCUUCCUCCAUCUCUUCUGCUGGAUUCCCAUGAUUAUGACUACUAUUCGGCUAUAAGUAUCUGUACUGUACUGCUCCCAUCUCUGUUACGAUAAAUCUUUCCGCCAAAAGCCGCUGAGCCCCACCGCCACGUGUAAGCUUUACGCCAGCCGCCUGCCCGAGUUAGGCCCAAAUGAAUACACAGAAACUUGUAUUAGGUACAAAGCUGCUUGGCCAAUGACUAGUAUUCAUCAUCUGUUAGCUCAGUCUCGAUUAUCAUAUAUCUAUAUAUUUUAUAAGACUUAUCUUAUCGGAUGCCUUAUUGGCGUCCCUCCUUGCUGGUGGCUCACAUCCUGCUGCUGGAGGAGGCAAA
rnacentral:lncRNA from 1 species